rnacentral:rRNA from 1 species
UACGAAGGGGGCUAGCGUUGCUCGGAAUUACUGGGCGUAAAGGGCGCGUAGGCGGACAGUUUAGUCAGAGGUGAAAGCCCAGGGCUCAACCUUGGAAUUGCCUUUGAUACUGGCUGUCUUGAGUUCGGGAGAGGUGAGUGGAACUCCGAGUGUAGAGGUGAAAUUCGUAGAUAUUCGGAAGAACACCAGUGGCGAAGGCGACUCACUGGCCCGAUACUGACGCUGAGGCGCGAAAGCGUGGGGAGCAAACAGGG